UACUCCGGUGGCCUAGUGGUCAGAGCAUCCAUCUUGGAUGUGGAAGGUCAUGGGUUCAAACCCUGGCUGAGUCA